UUCCCCCUCUGCCACCUUCCCCCUGCCAUGGGCUCCAGGCUCCUGCCCUGGGUGAUGCUCUACCUCCUGGGAGCAGGCCCCGCAGAGGCUGGAGUCACCCAAACUCCAAGACACCUGAUCAAAGCAAGAGGACAGCAAGUGACAUUGAGGUGUUCCCCUGUCCCUGGGCAUGCCAGUGUGUACUGGUAUAAACAGGCCCUGGGUAAGGGACCCCAGUUUCUCUUUGAAUAUUACAAUGGGAUACAGAGAGAAAAAGGGAACUUCCCUGAUCGAUUCUCAGGUCACCAGUUCCGUGAAUAUCACUCUGAGCUGAACAUUAGUGCCUUGGAGCUGGGGGACUCAGCCCUGUAUCUGUGUGCCAGUAGUGUUGCACAGCCCUGCAGAGCCACCAAUGUUCUGUGCACAAACCUCCCUGCUACAACCUCAAGCACCCUCAGCUCUGACAUAUCUGUGACAACCUGGCAGCCGGGGUGA